rnacentral:lncRNA from 1 species
UCUCUCAACGAGAAGGUCCAAUUCCUCAAUUCCCCUCUUCUUUUCUUUGAUAAUAAUUGACUUUUGAAUUUGCUUAAGUAAACUUAUUCACCUGUGAUUCAUCUAAAAAUGUUGAGUUUCAUUAUUUUAUUCGAUCGGAAUUUACCAUAAGCCAUAAGAUUAAAUUAAUAAAUAUCUCAUAUUUUAUUAAUUUGCACGUUCUUUAGCUGCAUCACUUAGAUACAUUUGUAUAUGAUGUAAAAUGAUCCAAUUAUGUAGCUCAAGCUCGAAAAUUUCUCAAAUUAAUUUACUCCUUACGUAUACUUAUUUUUUUUAUUUAACUUAGCUACAUAUUGAUGUUCUUUGCAAUAUCUUGAUUUGGAUAUCAGCUCGUUUUAAUUCGGAGAGUUCAUCUCAAUAUUCUUAGUUAUUUACAAUAAUGCUAAUGAUGAUUGCCAAUUUCAGCCUGUCUACUAAAUUACUGCAAUUGUUUACUAGACUUGUUGCACGAAAUGUGUCAUAUGGAAAUUUUUGUUGACAGUUGAGGAUUUCUCCUUUCCUUGAAGCUCCAUAAUUUGAUGCAAAAUGAGGCUUUUUCUGAGUCUCUAUAAGUUGUUUGAAGAGUUAAAGAGAGACAGAGACUAUAGAGGCAUUUUCGAUUUUCAUGUAUCUUUUUUCUUGUCUUAGACAUCAUUGCAUUUUGAGAGGAGGAGGGGAGGAAUUGUUUCAACAUACAGCUUUACAUGGGUAAAAUGUAAUCCCCCCAAUGCAUAAUUUGGUGGAGAACGAUGCUGAAUGAAGAGGUAUGGGAUGACUGACCCAUUAUCCUGUCAUUGGAGGCAAAAAAGUAGGCAAGGAUGAGUCAUCUCAAAACUAGAGUAACUGACAGGGGAAAAUGCAAAAUAGCACCAAACUUUGUUGCAGAUUUAAGGGCAAAGCAUAAUUAAAGAAUUGGCUUUAACGAAAAGCGCUAAUGAAGAAAAACUAACUAUGUAAUGCAACAAAAAUAAUUACAAACACAAACAACAAGUAUUUUGAUUAAAGACUGAAGUAACUAUAAUAAAGCAAAAUAUAUGAACUAAGAAUCAUACCAAUCAAGUUAAAAGCCAUUUUAAACAUCCAAUUUUGAUGAAAGGAAAUAGUUUUAUGUUUUCCAAAGCAAGUUUUUGUACUAAAUUUCAAAUUCUUAUUCCUACUCCCCAAGAUUUCAUUUUAAUUUUUUUUUAACAAUUAAUAUAACAGUUUAUCAACUAUAUUAUCUCAUACACAUAGCCCUUGUGUGAUGCAGAACACCCCUUAACGCCUUAGCUCCUGCACUAAAGUUCUACUUAAGCGAGGCGUAGCGCACAACGUUGCUUUAGCUGAGCUUUAAGGCUUAAGUGCGCCUCAAACGAGUUUUUAACGACACUGCUCAUAACCCCUUUCUUCCCUACAUAAUGGACUAUUUAAUUGUUUAAUACCAGAGGAGGUUGUAUUAAUAGCCAGGGGAUGAGAGUCUUACAAAACUAGAAUUUAGAAAGACUGAUUCAUUCUUUAAAAAAAAAAGAAUUUAAAAAGAAUGAUAACCCAUAAAUUUUAAUUACCAAAUUAUAGACCCUUUUAUUUAACCAAAUGUUUAUGUGCUUAAACAAACUAAGAAUAUUGUUAUAUGUUUUUUUUAUCAAAACUAAUUUUGUUCACAGAACAGCAGCACCAAGAGGGUACUGAUAGUAUGAAAAAUAUAACUAGCUUGUACUGAAAAUGAAGUAAGCUAGCCUAUAAUUACAAUGAAAAGGACUUUGUUUAUUACAAUGUAGAAAUAAGUCUGAUGGCAGCAACUUGGUCUUGCGGGACAGGGUCUGCGCGCGCCGUGCUGUUGGCGCGCGCGACACUUCUUGUGUGUGCCUGAGGUUGGGCGCUGGUGCUUGGCAUCAGGGUCUGUGCGCGAGGCGCUGCUGGUAUUGGCCUGCCUCUAGGCGCCGGCAAGGCAUCAGGAUCUGCGCACGCGGCAUUGUCAAUGCGCGCGGCAUUGUUGUCAAUGGCCAGCCAUUGGGCACUGGCGAGAGGUAUCGGCAGGGCGACAGAGGUGCAUACAAGCUUGUGACUUGGUGCAUAUCCCUUGUUUAGUACAAUUUUUCAACCUAUGUAUUACUAAUGCAAGUAUUAGU